rnacentral:misc_RNA from 1 species
UUUUUUAUGAAAAUAGAAAAAAAUUAUUUAUGUAUGAAAAUUAUGGAAUACACUCAUUGCAAUAUACAAUCACACAGCACUACUUACAGUUCUACCAGCAAGAAAUUUCAAGGGAAUUAAAGACUAAUUUUAUUAAGAAAAGAAAUCAAAUUUCAUUGAUUGUACCAUAAAAUUGCUUAAACAUUAUUAUGGGAAACUAUACUUAUUUAGCUGAGACGCCCAAGAAACAAACGCUUUCAAACUUUUUUUUUUUUAAGCACAAACGCUUUCAAACUUACUACAUCACUGACACAAAUUAAUUUAAACAGUAAUUUGGUACCUCAAGAAAGACUUAUAAAAUCCAUAGAAACUAGCUCGGCAGAAAGAAAUCUGUCUUUAGGAGCAUUGGAAACCAGAGGGAACCUUCUUGCUACAGACAUUGAGAAGCAAGCUCAGUGAAAGUGGAAUGUUAAGGUUGAUGCCCAAGACGUUUGCUUUGAUGGCUGUGCAGAGGCAAACGGCAGCCUCAAGAUCGACAAGGCCUUGGAUGAGAGAGCAACAAGGUUCCACUGGAGGUUUUCCAAUGGUGAGAUUGAGCAAUGAACGCAGCACAUUGGCACAUACGCCUAAUUUAAGUGCAUCCCUAGGACAUUUUCCAUUGGAAGGUGAUGGAGUUGGUUUUGGCUUAGGAGAAGGGCAGCCCCCACCACAUGCAGAGACUAGGGAAAAGAAGAGAAGGUUGAGUACCAAAAAGAGAGCAAGUGAGGCUGUGCUUUUGGAAGCCAUUUCUCAAUACCAAUCGCUUUAUAUAUGCUAGUGAUUACAGUGACUCGCUAUAAGCUACAGUAGAGAGUAUUGUGAUGAGUGGAGGGAUAUGCAGUGAAGGAUGGGUUUAUAUAGGGCUCUUGGAGGAGAGUCUUCAGACUUGAGCUGAUGUUAACACGAAAUAAUUGAGAGAAAAUAUUACAAAAAAGCCAUGCACCUACGUGUACACUUGGGAUUUAGCUGGCAGUAGACAGGGAGCUUUGUGCAACUUCAUUUUGGAUGCUUCUGUAGUGGGUUUCCUCUGCCGUAGCAUGUAAAUCCUCAUAUAUGGGUCUGUCUACUUUGCAAAAUUUUGGCUUGCACUGUAUUGAUUCUACUGAUCCUGUGCAUCCACAUAAUUAAUUAGGAUCAUGAGAUAUGGGUUUCCUUCGCUGCUUUAUUUCUUCGGGUUGUUGUUAUUUCGGGUCUGCUG